CCUCUCCAGAAGUCAAGUGCAGAAGCUAGCGAAGGGCUCUGAGGCCCUUGAAGACGGGGAAAUACUGACAUAAGCUAGCUCAGUUCCCAUGCCAAGCCCUCGGUUAACCUUCAGUGUUUUCAAGAACUAACCCGCUGACUUAUCAAACGGCUGAUGUUCAAGAGCUAUUUCAGUAGUCAUGAUUCACCCUCACUCCCUGAUCGAUGCGAUGGCUGAGGUCAAGGACAACGAGCCUAUCAGGUGAUGUUUAUCAGGGUGCUUUCAAAACAAGCUGUCAUGAACAAGAGUUGGGACUCCUUGUCACAGUCAAAUAUAAAGGAGAACCUCAGUGGGGGGGCCAGAGAGAUGACUCAGCAGUUGAGAGCACGUACUGCUUGCUCUUCCAGAGGAUCUAUGUUCAAUUCCCAGCACCCAAGUCAGGUGCCUCCCAAAGGACUGUAACUCCAGCUCCAGAGAGAUUGGACUUCUUCAGCCCCCGCUGGCACCUGAACUCAAGUUCACGCGCACAUGCACACGCACACGCACAUGCACACACUUUAAAAUAAGUAUUUAAAAAGGAGACUCUCAGCAAAACAAGAGAGGCUGGGUUUGUCUUCUUCAAGACCAGCAACCUGGCUAAGGAGGAAGCGCCACACUGUUGAAGACUACGUGCUCUCUGCACGGAGCUGGUGAAAGAAUGAGUCUACUGUCAUCCUGAAACUGGGCUGGGGGAUCCCCAAGACCAAAGUGGAUUUCCUCAUAUUCUGGCUGUCUCUGUCCUCAGGCUCCCAGUUGCAGAAAUGUUGAUGAGACUAGACCCCCAGGUUAUGACAAUGCAGAGCCUUCUGAAGACCAAGACCCAAAUAUAAACUCACUAUGCUCAGGGUUUGUUUAACUAGCAAGGCCCUGGCCCACUGGGCUCCAACUGAACUCCCAAUCACUCCAGCUGUUGAGGGUGAUGACCCCUGGGGGAGGGAGGAAGAACAGAGGGUGUGGGCAGAAUGGACACUUGCCAAAUUCCCUGGGGAGAGAGAUGCCCUUCUUCCCUCAUCUCCCACCAUGCACCACGGUGCACACUGUCAUAUGAUUGUGAAAGGCAAGGAAGAGGCUAUUUGAUGACAUUAAAUAGGGAACUGAGAAGGGAAAAACAGAUCUAAAUGGAGUAUGGCCAUUGUCUACUUCUCCAUUCUCCUACCAUAAAGGUCCUAGAAAGAAUGUUCUGGAUUUACCUAUGUCAUGUGACUAAGAAGAAAAAAAUCCCAGGGGUGUAGAGUCUUGGCCCUAACAUUUUAGAAGUCUGUAAUUAUCUGAACAGAACAGAACAGGGCCCAGAUGUUCCGUAAAUGUGACUUGAAAUGAUCUUGUCUAAAAUAAGGACAAUUUGAAAACUCUGAGUUGAGUUUCCCAGGCUUGGCUUUUGGUCAAGUACUGCAGUUGUUUAUGCUGCCAGGCCUCCAGUUUAAUUUUAAAAAAGAACAAGUGACAUAAUCCUCCUUGUGAGUUCUGCAAGAAGCAAUCGGCCACCUCGUGUCCUGAGUACUGCCCAGCGCAGAUACUCAGUGCUGAGAGAUCUAAAAUAGUCUGCUGUGCAUCUCAGAAGACAGGUAUGACUUCCGUCUGCUUCAGGAGUAGCCGCCAGAGCCAUGAAAUCCCAGAACUGAAGUGCUCCCAGAACCUGUGAAACGCCAUGGUCCUAUUUCUCACUUGUACAAUGAAUAUGCUAAACGAGAACAUCUUUUAAUAUCCUCACAACUGUGCAAGUCCCUAAUGACGUGUGCACAUACAAUAAAGCUGUAUACCCAUGGCGUUGCUACGUAAAAGAAGUCCAUAAAGAAUCACGCUGCACUUUAAAGUAAAUAGGUCCCCAAACAUUCUGUCACAUGAGAAGCUAGGAACUGUUUGGGACUGAGGCUUUAGUUUGGUGUCAGCAUGUGCAAGGCCUCCGGCUUAAUUUCUACCAAUAAACACGGAGUUCAAAGCAGUUUGGAACCAAGCCUUCUCAGGAGCACCCGGGGAGGAAUAAUGAGGGAGACCGGACACAAAAUAGCAGCCUCUUUCUGCGGUGAGGCUUGUUAAAAAUCACCACACUCUACCUCCCACGCUGGGAUCGGCGCCUCUGCAUGGCGGUCCUCUUCUUUAAGUAGGCCUUCAAUUCCAAACUCACCCUUCUGAUCGAGCCCUUUCUCUUGGGCAAGAUGAAUUUCAAAGAUGCUACUGGUUCCUACUGACACUUGCUCCUGAGACACUUUACUGGUGAAUGAUCUCACUUUGAAAUCUUUCCCUCGUGACUGGAGUUGGGAAAAGCAUCCUCCUGGUGCAGAAAGGGGAGAGAUCUUCUUCACGGAACGUAAGGGGGAGAGGCCUCCGCCGCGGACUGACUUCAGCAUCUUCUCCAUUAGUAAGAUUUCUGUCCUCCCUCCUCACACACAGCUCACAGAGAGUUCUCUCUGUGAUAAGCUCUCUGUGAUAAUUAUCUUAGAUAAUUGGCUGAUUCUGUCAAAAAUAGGUCUUGUCUUUCAACAUGUUCUAAUGGAGGGCUCUAGUAAACCCAAUGUGUCAUGAGGAGGUGUUUGACACUUGCUCCUUUUUCCUUAAAUCAGAUUCUAAAAAUGCUGAGCCUCUGAGCUUGGAGGAACUUAGAUGUCUCAAAGAGUCAUUUGUUUUCAGGUAUGGCCAGGAUUUCAUAAGAAACAUCUCUUUGGCUCAGGUUCUAUUUAAGGAGUACUGGAUUCAGUGGUGUUUGCUCUAAUCCAAACAUUUAUAGGAAAAAAAUAAGUUUUAUGUCUAACUCUGAGUCUCACUAAUUCCAACAAAUGAGGGUUAUUUUUGUUUUGUUUUGUUUUGUUUUUUGUUGUUUUUUU